ACGGUCGUGGCGCCUCGGAGGCGCGGCCCUUCAGCCGGGACGGCGGAGCCGGAUCCGGCCGACGUCCGUUCGACAGGGAUGACCGCCC
rnacentral:tRNA from 1 species